rnacentral:RNase_P_RNA from 1 species
CGAGCCGACCGGGCGGCCGCGGGAGGUUGUACGACGUACAGCCCUUGAGGAAGGUCCGGACUCCGCAGGGCAAGGUGGUGGGUAACGCCCAUCCGAGGUGACUCGCGGGACAGUGCCACAGAGACAGACCGCCAGCGGCUCCGACCUCGGUCGGGGUGCGGGUAAGGGUGAAACGGUGGUGUAAGAGACCACCAGCGCACCGGGUGACCGGGGCGGCUGGGUAAACCCCACCUGGAGCAAGACCAAGAAGGGCGCCGGAGCAAUGCCUCGGUGCCCGCGCAGACGCCGGUCGUCCUCGGAGGACCGAGAGGGUUGCCCGCCUGAGUCUGCGGGUCGGUCGCAUGAGCGCAUCGGUGACGAUGCGCGCAGAUGGAUGGCUGCUCAGGGCGGACUCCGCGAGGAUCCGCCCCCAACAGAAUCCGGCCUACGAGUCGGCUCGCCCG